GGUUGUUGCUCAGUGGUAGAGAGCUUGCCUAGCAUAUGUGGGGCACUGGGUUCAAUUCCCAGAACCA
rnacentral:tRNA from 1 species